UGCACUCCCGCCUUCUCUGGACAGGCUCCUUCCGCCCUUCCCCAGGAUCGAAACGGCGUUUCUCCGAGCGCCCCUGUCGAAAUCCGGCUUGCUGAGCUUCAGCCAAGCCCAUGAGAUAUUGGAUACAUUCUUAUUCCCACUGCAGAAGGCAGUGCUAUAUAAAGACGCAUAUCUACUAAAGGGGUACACAAAAAUAGCUGUUUUGGAGCAAGGAAAUUUUACCAGCACAAUUGAGCAUGACACUGGUGAACUCACACAUAGAGACAGAUUUCUGAUAAUCUCAAAAGAUCUCAACAAACACAAUGGGUUUUUAACUCGUUACGAUUGCUAAUUGAUGAAGCACAAUUUGGGUUAUAAAAUGCCUGCAAGAAAAUUAUCUGAAGGUCAGGGAGUACUAAAGACUGUACAGUUCUACUCCAAGCUACGAAUAUUCUCUUCUCUUGAAAAACAACCCAGCCUGGUGGCCACCUUUAAAACCUUGAAGAAUUCCACUUGUUUCUUAGCAGGGAAGCCAAGAAUAUUUUGACAAGACAAGGGUAAGGAAUUCAAAAUUUGCACAGUGGCAAUAAGGAUCUGCAAUCAUUGUUGUGAUAAUAUUUCUCUCGAGUUUGCUGUCUUGUCUCAGUUAGGAGGCUUAGGAGAUUAGAGAGAGAUUGAUGCCCAGCACACCUGUACAUUGGAUCAGAGCCAUGCCUGAAACCCAAUUCCCCUAAGCUGCUUGGUGGGGGUCUUGUGUUUCCUGAGUCACUGCAUUAAUAGGCUGGGAGGCAGACCCGAUCCCUCUGUUGCCU